UACGUAGGGGGCAAGCGUUGUCCGGAUUUAUUGGGCGUAAAGAGCGUGUAGGCGGCCGUACAGGUCAGCUGUGAAAACUCGAGGCUCAACCUCGAGACGUCGGUUGAAACCGUACGGCUAGAGUCCGGAAGAGGAGAGUGGAAUUCCCGGUGUAGCGGUGAAAUGCGCAGAUAUCGGGAAGAACACCCGUGGCGAAGGCGGCUCUCUGGGACGGUACUGACGCGUGAGACGCGAAAGCGUGGGGAGCGAACAGG
rnacentral:rRNA from 1 species